rnacentral:rRNA from 1 species
AGAGUUUGAUCCUGGCUCAGGAUGAACGCUGGCGGCGUGCCUAAUACAUGCAAGUCGAACGCUUUGUGCUUAAUUGAUAUGACGAGCUUGCUCUGAUUUGAUUUUUUGAUUUCAAAGAGUGGCGAACGGGUGAGUAACACGUGGGUAACCUACCUCUUAGCAGGGGAUAACAUUUGGAAACAAGUGCUAAUACCGUAUAAUACCAACAACCGCAUGGUUAUUGGUUGAAAGAUGGUUCUGCUAUCACUAAGAGAUGGACCCGCGGUGCAUUAGCUAGUUGGUAAGGUAAUGGCUUACCAAGGCAAUGAUGCAUAGCCGAGUUGAGAGACUGAUCGGCCACAAUGGGACUGAGACACGGCCCAUACUCCUACGGGAGGCAGCAGUAGGGAAUCUUCCACAAUGGGCGCAAGCCUGAUGGAGCAACGCCGCGUGUGUGAUGAAGGGUUUCGGCUCGUAAAACACUGUUAUAAGAGAAGAACGGCACUGAGAGUAACUGUUCAGUGUGUGACGGUAUCUUACCAGAAAGGAACGGCUAAAUACGUGCCAGCAGCCGCGGUAAUACGUAUGUUCCAAGCGUUAUCCGGAUUUAUUGGGCGUAAAGCGAGCGCAGACGGUUAUUUAGGUCUGAAGUGAAAGCCCUCAGCUCAACUGAGGAAUUGCUUUGGAAACUGGAUGACUUGAGUGCAGUAGAGGAAAGUGGAACUCCAUGUGUAGCGGUGAAAUGCGUAGAUAUAUGGAAGAACACCAGUGGCGAAGGCGGCUUUCUGGACUGUAACUGACGUUGAGGCUCGAAAGUGUGGGUAGCAAACAGGAUUAGAUACCCUGGUAGUCCACACCGUAAACGAUGAGUGCUAGAUGUUCGAGGGUUUCCGC